rnacentral:rRNA from 1 species
GAUGAACGCUGGCGGCGUGCCUAAUACAUGCAAGUCGAGCGAACAGAUGAGGAGCUUGCUCCUCUGACGUUAGCGGCGGACGGGUGAGUAACACGUGGAUAACCUACCUAUAAGACUGGGAUAACUUCGGGAAACCGGAGCUAAUACCGGAUAAUAUAUUGAACCGCAUGGUUCAAUAGUGAAAGACGGUUUUGCUGUCACUUAUAGAUCGAUCCGCGCCGCAUUAGCUAGUUGGUAAGGUAACGGCUUACCAAGGCAACGAUGCGUAGCCGACCUGAGAGGGUGAUCGGCCACACUGGAACUGAGACACGGUCCAGACUCCUACGGGAGGCAGCAGUAGGGAAUCUUCCGCAAUGGGCGAAAGCCUGACGGAGCAACGCCGCGUGAGUGAUGAAGGUCUUCGGAUCGUAAAACUCUGUUAUUAGGGAAGAACAAAUGUGUAAGUAACUAUGCACGUCUUGACGGUACCUAAUCAGAAAGCCACGGCUAACUACGU